UUUUCUUUAAUGAAAGAUAUUGGGUGGAGAUAGAAUUAGGUAAUUUGAAGGUAGCAGUAUUUCUCUGAAUUCUAGGAAUGCUCAAGGUGUUACCAAUUGUGAUAAUGCUACGAGGUGAGGCCUUUAAGAAGUAAUUAGGCCAUGAGGGCUCUUCUUGCAGGAACGGAGAUCCAGGAUGAGUUCAGACCCUGGGCUAUCCAUGGACCAUGGCUGACCCUUGGCCUAAAGCCACAUAUCCAGGCCUAUGAAAUGGAUUUGACCCAUCUGUGAUCUGAUUACCCCACCACUGCAUGCCUACAGCACACAAGGUAGGGUGUGGUGGUGCUGACAGCAGGCAUUCUUUACCCUGCCUGCCACUAGUACCAUUCACUAACUCCAUGCCACUUGUCAGGCAGUCUCCAGGAGUGGCUGUGCCAUUUCCUCCAAGGUUCUGAAGACUGUUGUUCUACAGGACCAUGAGCCCUUCUAAUCAGUGUUCUUUAUCACCUGCAAGGAAUGCGAAAACAUCAUGUUCCAGGGACAGUCUUCAUUUGCGCUAGACAAAAGACAAACAAUCCUUCCUUGAAUGGACCCACUCUUCUUUUUUCACUCAUCUCCUCUCACUGAUCUCCCUGCUGGUGGUGGCGGAUAGAAGGCAGAGAUGUGGUCAACACCAAAUGAGAUUAUGUUCUGGGAAUUCAGAGAUUACAGUCUGAAGAAUUCAAGAUAAGGGACAUGUAAUCAGCGAGUACUGACUUUCUCUCCCAUCCUUCAUCUUAUUAAUGUGCUGCUUGAAUAAAAGAUGUGGCCACUGAUCCAGUAGGAAAUGCGCAUCUGGUUUCCAUCACCAAUUGAGAUGUUUAGAACUGCAUGAUUCCAUCAAUUCCCUGUCUUGGCUAUUCCCACCCAAGGGCUCAAGAUCACUCUCAAGUAACUAGCGUACUCAAAAAAGCAGUUUCAAUCUUCUCUUACAGAUUACAUUAUGGAAGACAUAUGCUUGCUCAGUGUAAGAAGCAUUAUUUUAGUAUAAAUUCUAAGAAUAUAAGUACAGACAUUGAUAUAGGUUCAGCUGUUGACGUAGGCAGAGGCAGAGAUGGCUUUGAAGUAGAUUUGCUCCUUAUGAAUCCCUCUUUUCUUUCCUACAAAUUCUGUGACUUCAGUUAACUGAUCUUGAUAAAUGUCGUCCUGGCAAAAUGCGAACUAUAUUAGACCCAGCCUCAUAGGAUUCUCCUCAGUAGUAAACAGGUUCAUGCAAGUGGGAUCACUGGCAAACAGUAACAUACAAGAUAAAUAUUAAUUAUUGUUAAAUACACACUAUGGAAAGUGUAAUGUUAGAACUAAACUUUUCAUUUACCUUCUUCUGAAAACCUUAAUACAGAUACGUGUUCUCCUCCUCUGCCCACCUCUCAAUACAUACCAAUACACCAAAUUCAAUCAAUCCAGCAUUUUUAGUUACUUAUCCACUCAUAGUCCUCAUCACCAAACCAUCACCACUACCACCACCACACCCAUAGGCACCACCAAGUACCUUUGCUUAUGUGUCUUUCUGAAAUGCUUUCCUCUCCCUACUCGUUAUUUAGCUGGCUAAUUCCUAUUAUUCUCUGUGAUUUUCCUUAGGUAUGACCUCCAUAAAGAACCUUCAUAUCAUCUUGCCCUGCAUGAAAUAUAUUAGAAGCCUUUGCUCUGGUCUUUCAUGGUACUUUUAAAGGAUAUUAUCAUUUACAAAAUGGAAUACCAAUGACUUUUCACAAGUGGUCUAUCAACUAAGCAUGUACUUAAGUAAAUAUUUUCAGAGGAUUUCAUUAACCUCUGAGUGAAUAGUUGAAAAAAAAGAAUGAAACAGAUAUAAGUCCAUGUUUUUAUUUGUAAAUAAAUGUAUUGCCAAAAUUACAUACAAAUAACAAAUAAUGUCUCGAGUGACAUGCAAUGAUCAAAAUCCUCAAAAGAAUACUUUUGUUUAGUAGAGAUUUGAACAAAUAAACUACAAUUUAAGGAGACUGUUGUAUUUCUUUUGAGAUAACCCCAUAAGUUUUACAUUCUGUAUCAAGGCAUCCAUUUGCAGUAAUAAAGAUUCAAGGCUUAUCCCUAAAAGGCAAUGCCCAUUCUUUAUAGUCAAUAUGAUCCUGCUAGCACAUAAAGCCUGAAGAAAUAACAGAUACUAGAUUUAAAACCACUUUACUAAAAUUAAUCCAUGGUGAUGAUAUGGAAGAAAACCACAGGAGUCUUGAGAAAAUAAACUAGCUGCUGUCUGGUUGAUACCAGAAAUAGAGAUUGGUAUAAGGAAAAAAUUAAAAGAAAGAAGUAUCACAAAUAAGAAUGAUUGAUACUUAUUAGAAACAUAUCUGGAAAUAGAUGAUUAGGAAUAUUAAAAAUAAAAAUGAAGAGGUAUAUAUGAUGCCACUGAAGAAACAAGCAAAAUUCAAAUGAAUAAAAGGUAAACAAGAAAUCAGGAAAUAAAAAAAGUCCAAUAAAAUCUGAAAAGGGAAAGAAGGCACAAAGUAAGUAUCAAUAAAGAAACCACAAUAUCAUUACUGCAAAGUCAGAGGUCAAAACAUCAUAGCUAUAGAAACCUUAAAGAGACUUUUUAAAAUAUAUCAUUUCUAAGAGGCCAUAAUAUACAAUAAGUUACAAAUAUAAAAAUGUUUUAAUAUUUACAAUUUAACGUACAUGUAGACAAUAAAGUUAUGGGAAAAGAAACAAAAGACAACAAAAGUAACAUCCCUACUUAUGUACACUCACUAUGCUUUCACGGUACAUACUUUUACUUUCCAAACCCUAACAAUUAUAUAGCAUUUCACACAAUAAAAUUUUAUAUAGCAUAUCUGAAUUACUUCAAAGCUUAAUGCGGAUUUAAAUAAUAAAACUUUACUAUUUUGAUCAUAAAUUAAGCAAAUGAGACUAAAAUGACAUUUUUUAUUUUCAACUUAAUGGUUAUUUAAUAAUCACUGCACUCCUUGGGGAUGUUAACAUUGUAGAACUCGACAAAUUAACAAGAUAGUUCUAGGUUGACUCUAUUUUCUCUUAAAUAUUAAAUUUAUGAUUUGCUAAAAAAAAAAAAAAACCUCUAAUAAGGACACAGAACUUAUAGUUUGCCAGUUUGUGUUACAAGAACUUUCUACACUGAGGAAGAUAUGAACACUAGUUAUCACACUCCAAACACUCUGCUUCCUGCACAUACCAUCUCCUGCAUUGCCUAUUUUUUCUAGCAAAGCACUUAGUAAUCACUUGUAUAUGUUUAAUUGUGGAAGUCUUAAAGCUGUAAUAAUUUAUAUUGUGUAAAAUAGAAAGGACGUGAAUUCAGUACAUCAGGGAUGGAAAAUAUGCUCUUACUCAUUCUCCUGUGGCUGAAGUAGAAAUCAGUAGUAUGUAUGUAAACCUUUUUUUCCUGAGCCUCAAAAUUCCUCUCAAUGCUCAGUUCCAGGCAGCCAUUACCAAUUGCUAAGAGUUAGCAUAUGGGUGAAAAUUGAUUUGACAUCUCUAGUUAGAAUAUGAAAUGCUGGCGUAUAAAUUAUAGGUCAAGAGAUCACAGGUAUCUGGAUAAGCAAUAUCAUUCAGUUACAAAAAAAAAUUGGUGUGCAGGGUUAAUAUGAAAUCUGAGAACUAUGUAAACCAUUUCUCAGAGAUUAAAGCCAUGAUAUAGUUACAAUGUAGCCAAAACUGGCUGUGGAACAUAGAGAACUCGUAAGUGUUACUGUCUUAGAUAGCUGGAACGAUCACUGAGACUACUCUUUUAUAUGUUAACUUGUUUACUGCUCACAGCAAACUUAUAUGUUGAGUACUAUGAUUAUCAUCUACCUAUCCUCAAUUAAAACACAUGUACCCUAAAACUUAAAGUAUAAUAAUAAUAAAAUAAAAACAAAACAAACAAAAAGAAAACAAAGAGAUCUUAUUAUCAUCCCCAAGUUAAACUGCAUAACAAAAGGUAGAGGUGGGAUUUUUAACUAAUUUAUCUUCAGAGUAAGUGUCUCUACUAACUUCUAUACUUUCUGUUGCCUAUGCAAGUCUGUUAUAGAAAUCAAAUAAGAACAUGUGGGUAAAAGUGAGUUUAAACCACUAGCAGAUGUAAGGAGUUGAUAUUAAUAAUGAAUCCAUGAAACAUGCAGGGGGGUUAAAGGUUGGGUUUGCAAAUAAGAGGUUUGUGUUUGUUUGUUGUUGUUCUUUUUUUUGAGAUAGAGUCUCGCUGUAUCACCAGGCUGGAGUGCAGUGGUGCGAUACCAGCUUACUGCAACCUCGUCCUCCCGGGUUCAUGCCAUUCUCCUGCGUCAGCCUCUUGAGUAGCUGGGACUACAGGUGCGUGCCACCAUGCCUGGCUAAUUUUUUGUAUUUAUUGUAGAGACAGGAUUUAACCACGUUAGCCAAGUUGAUCUUGAUCUCCUGACUUUGUGAUCCACCCACCUUGGCCUCCCAAAGUGCUGGGAUUACAGGUAUGAGCCAUGGCACUUGGCCUUUUGUUUUGCUUUGUUUUG
rnacentral:lncRNA from 10 species